rnacentral:lncRNA from 1 species
UCCGGGGAGAAAUAAGGCUGAGAACAUGUCGGGACCCCCCUUUGGACAAACAGUGAGACGAACUCUAUAUCCUAUCAUUCCCAAUAAAUAUAACAAUAAAUACAUACAAUAAUAAUAUAAUUCAGACACGAUACCUGAAAUAGAAUAGUGUUCGUACAUAUAACCUCAGUCACACAAUUAUCCAGACUUAAACGGCAGCGACCGCGAACGAAGUAAAACUGAGAAAGUACAGUCUGGAUAAUGAGAAAAGAAUAAUCAUAGCUUUACAUAAAGCUUUACAUAAAUAUACUUGUCAUCCUUAACCCUUACCC